GCUCAGGUGGUGGAAUGGUAUACACGUACGCUUGAGGUGCGUAUACCGCAAGGUGUGGGAGUUCGAAUCUCCUCCUGAGUA
rnacentral:tRNA from 1 species